rnacentral:rRNA from 1 species
GAUGAACGCUGGCGGUAUGCUUAACACAUGCAAGUCGAACGGACUCUUCGGAGUUAGUGGCGGACGGGUGAGUAACGCGUGAGAAUCUGGCUUUGGGUUCGGGACAACCACUGGAAACGGUGGCUAAUACCGGAUGUGCCGAGAGGUAAAAGAGAAAUUGCCUGAAGAUGAGCUCGCGUCUGAUUAGCUAGUUGGUGAGGUAAAGGCUCACCAAGGCAGCGAUCAGUAGCUGGUCUGAGAGGAUGACCAGCCACACUGGGACUGAGACACGGCCCAGACGCCUACGGGAGGAAGCAGUGGGGAAUUUUCCGCAAUGGGCGAAAGCCUGACGGAGCAAUACCGCGUGAGGGAAGAAGGCUCUUGGGUUGUAAACCUCUUUUCUUAGGGAAGAACAAAAUGACGGUACCUAAGGAAUCAGCAUCGGCUAACUCCGUG